UGAUCUGCUCGUCCGCUCGACGGAGGAUCCGUCUCCUCUGCCGCCUAUCUUUAACUACAUGUUGCUGUGCUGUCCUGUUUUGGAGACUUGUGUCUGGGUGUUGGGUUGUUAAGCCAUCGGUGCUUUCUAUGUCGCUGUUGAACUGCAUCAUUAGUACUUCGUGGAACAAGUGUCUCGCUUAAUUGAUGUUCUGUCCUGCUUCAUUCCAGUGUUUCUAGCCAACCUGUCUUGCUCCGUUCCUGUGGUCAUUUUUAGGAACAUUGGCGACCUGUCUCGAUCUAUAUGCGCAACUUAUCUGAUUGCGGAGCAAUCACUUGCCGGAUUGAGCCAAUCUUUAAAGCCCGAAAGCCGACCUGUCUCGAGCAACUGAAUUUGCUUCGCCAGAAAGCCGGCCUGCUGAAGCCAGUCCAUAUGAAGUUUUUGUCCAUUUUCGAUACUUACUGGCCGGCUACGAGGCUUCAUCCAGCGGUUCUGCUUCAUUUUGUCCCAUGCGCAUGGUGAGAUCAAUAGGUGUGCACAAAACGGCUGAGUAGGAUCAAUAGGAUCGUGCACCAAACCGGCGCUGUUCCCUAAAGCUUGGACUUGAUGAGUAGGGAUGGGUUUGUUCACAGUUCGCAGGACGUGCGGAACCAAUUCGGAGGAGAUGAAGAGGAGUAUGCAGAUUACCAUGGGCCUGAACCUGAUUUGGAGGAUCAAUUUGCAGGGAUGAAGCUCCAUGGAAGGGAGGAGGAAGAGCUAGAUUUCUCAGCGGAAGUUGAUGAUCUGAUUAAGGAUGUACGUUGGCUUGCCCUGUUUCGUGUCCAUACUACGAAACCCUUUAGCCACGCUGCGCUCUUGUCACAGAUGCGUAAUGCAUGGUCGGCGGCUCAAGGGGUGACGUUCAACAUCAAGGGACCCAAUUUGUUUCUGGUGCAAUGCCAUUGUCUAGGUGAUUGGAGGAGGAUUGUGGAUGGAGGGCCAUGGCUGUUUAGGAGGGCACCGGUGGUGAUCCAGGAGUAUGAUGGUUUUUCAAAUGUCAAAGGUUAUAGACUCAAUAAAAUUCCGGUAUGGGCAAGGGUGAAGGGGCUGCCGGAUGGUCUCACGAGAAGGAAAGAGUUAGCGGAGAAAGUUGCAGCUAAAGUAGGUGACCCACCUUUCACCGUGAUAAUGAAUGAGGGGAGAAUCAACCCAGCUAGUACCCUCCGGGUGAGGGUUUAUGUGGAUGUCAAUAGUCCGCUUGUCCGUUUUGUUCCAAUAACCUUGAAGGAGUAUAAAAGAUACAGUGUUUAUUAUGAGAAGCUACCGGACUUUUGCUUUGCGUGUGGUAAGAUGGGUCAUGUUGCAGACGAGUGUGGUGAUGGGAUUCAUGACCCAAACUCCUUUGAGUGGGGUGAGUGGCUGUUGUGGGAGCCUGAAGUGCCUACAGCCCAAGGUGUAGGAGGCCGAGGUAGAGGAGAUGGAGGUAGUAGGGGAAGAGGUUGGGAUGCAGGCAGGGGAGACCGAAGAGGUAGAGUAGGGAGAGGCCCGAUGGGCGGAAGGGGGAGAGGGGAUCCCGGAGCAGGGGUGCAGCAAGCUGGAACGCAUCAUAUGGAUGUGGAGGGCUAGGGAGACGGUGUAGGAGGUUUAGGGGAAAGGGGAGCGAGGAAGAGGCUGGUUGAGGCGGAUGGAAGCCUAAACGUCCGGGGGCAACAGCUCAAUCAUUUGGCUGGACGGGUAGCUGGUACUGUCAUGAUGAUCGAAGGGGGAUCUCAAGCGGCAAGCACAAGUGCUGUGAUCUCCACCCCGGAGAAGGACCCAAUUGUGAAGAGAAGGCGUCAGGAUGGAGAAGAAGGUGUUUUAGUGGAUCAAACAAGAGAGGCGGCCUCCCUCGAGGAGGGCCGCCGGGCCUGAUGAAGACAUUGUGCUGGAACUGUCGCGGAAUUGGCGACCCCGCGACAGUUAGGGAGCUCCGCGUCUCGUGGAGGCGUGUGCGCCGUCGAUCCUUUGCAUUGUUGAAACUCAACUUGCGAAGGCCCGAGUGGAGGGAUUGGCUGUUUCUUUUGGUUUUUCAGGAUGUUUUGCAGUUCCAAGUAACGGUCGUAGUGGUGGUUUAUGUAUUUUUUGGAAAGAUCAUGUUAAUCUGGCAAUAAAGAACUUUUCGCAGUACCACAUAGACUCAUGGAUUUCACAACCAGGUGCUGAUGAUUGGAGUUUAUCAUGCUUUUAUGGUGAAGCCAACAGAAGUUUGAGGCAUAACACAUGGGAGACGAUGAAGAGAUUACGAGGGGAAAGUACACUUCCUUGGGUGUGCAUUGGAGACUUUAACGAGGUGCUGCGCCCGGAGGAGCACAUGGGUACUAGCAUUCGAGACAGUGGUCAGAUCGUAGGCUUCAGAGAGGCUGUGGAUGUGUGUGAGCUUGCUGAUUUAGGCUACAAAGGCCUUGAUUGGACGUGGGAAAAGAGAGUCAGGGGAGGCGAGUUCUGUAGGGUGCGACUGGAUCGUGCGCUGGCUAGUCCUAGUUGGUCGGCGCUGUUCCCUUUUGCAUCUCUUGAGCACCUAACAGCAGCCAAGUCAGAUCACUGUCUCAUUCUGCUUAAUACAGAGCUGGAGACAACAAGUAUGAGGCACGCUCUAAAAAAACCCUUUCGAUAUGAGUGUAUGUGGGAAACAAAGGAAGAUUUUCAUCAAGUAGUGGAGGAAGUCUGGAACCGUAAUCAACCUUCUCUUUCAGUUUCGGACCUAGCUGCCAAGCUCAGUUCAGUUUCUGUAGCGCUAGCUCAGUGGGGACGCAUGUCGUUUGGAUCAGUCCGGCAGGAGCUUCGUUCGUUGCGACAUCAGCUAGCUACCCUACGGGCAGUCCCGGGCCGGGUAGGCCCAAGUGAGGAGGAGAAGCGAGUCCAAGAUCGUAUGAUCGAAGUUUCUCUGGCGGAGGAGAUCAUGAUGAGGCAGAGAUCACGAAUAAAAUGGCUCGCUGAAGGGGAUAAGAAUACUGGAUUUUUUCAGAAAAAAGCAAGUGCCCACAGGGCAAAAAAACAAGAUAACUCAGCUACAAAGAAACGAUGGUACAAUCAGCACUGAUUCGGAGGAGCUGGCACGCAUGGCUACUGAGUUUUACUCUAAUCUCUAUACUUCGGAAGGUACAAUUGGUAUGGAGGAAGUGCUCUCCCAUAUACCAUCAAGGGUAGAUGCUGAGAUGAAUACACGCCUGAAUAAGCCGUAUAGCAAAGAGGAGGUCAAAGAAGCGCUAUUCCAAAUGUUUCCUACAAAAGCUCCGGGACCUGAUGGAUUCCCGGCGCACUUCUUUCAAAGGCAUUGGGAUUUAUGUGGGGAAGAGAUUACGGGUAUGAUCAUAAGAGUGCUCGAUGGAGUUGACUCACCGUAGGAUAUCAAUCGUACGUUCAUUGUUAUGAUUCCGAAAGUUGCUAGUCCAAAGAUCUUAGGACAAUUUCGGCCAAUAAGCCUUUGUAAUGUAAUCUACAAGAUUGCAUCAAAGGUCUUAGCCAAUAGGCUGAAAAUGAUUCUUCCAGAGGUGAUUUCAGAAGAGCAGUCAGCGUUCGUUCCUAGACGUCUCAUCACGGAUAAUUUUAUAACUGCCUAUGAGAGUUUACACUAUAUGAAAACGAGAAGAGUAAAGAGUAACCGGUAUUGUGCGCUAAAACUGGAUAUGAUGAAAGCAUAUGAUCGACUGGAAUGGCCAUACUUGAAGGCGGUCAUGACGAAGUUGGGUAUUAGCCCGAGGUUCAUUGAUACUAUUAUGAGGUGCGUGUCGUCGGUGUCUUUUUCGGUGCUUUUUAAUGGAGGUGUGUUGGAUGAUUUCAGGCCUUCUUGUGGAGUUAGGCAAGGGGAUCCAAUAUCCCCCUAUUUGUUCGUCAUUGCAGCAGAGGGUCUAUCUUGUUUGCUGAAAAAUGGCAUCCGCGGUAUCAAGGUGGCACCGACGGCCCCGGAGGUCAAUCAUCUUCUGUUCGCAGAUGACAGUUUACUGUUUUUUGAGGCAUCAAAUGACGAAGCAAGGAGAGUCCGCGACUUGCUGCAGGUUUAUUGCAACGCCUGCGGCCAAAGAAUCAAUGCUGACAAGAGCUCUAUUUAUUUCAGUAAGGCAGUUCCGGACAGCUUGAGAGGUGAGAUCAAGGAGACCCUAGCAGUUCAUACUGAAUCUCUUUCGGAGAAAUACUUGGGUCUUCCAACGGAUGUUGGCAAAUCCAAGGAGGGAUGCUUUCGAUAUUUGAAGGAUAGGAUUUCGAAACAUGUGCAAGGGUGGAUGGAGAAGUGCCUCUCUGCAGGAGGAAAGGAGGUCUUAAUUAAAUCAGUUGCCCAAUCAAUACCAACAUAUUCGAUGUCAUGUUUCAAGCUGCCUCGCGUGGUCUUUGCAACCAUAUCAAUGGGCUUCUGAGGAAUUUUUGGUGGGGGAGUAAGAGGGGUGAAAGGAAGACAGCCUGGGUCUCCUGGAAUACUAUGACAAAACCAAAAUAUAUGGGUGGAAUGGGUUUCCGCGAUAUUGAGGUUUUUAUCUUAGCUUUAUUAGCUAGACAAGCUUGGAGGAUAUUACAAGAUCCGAGUUCAUUGAGUGCUCGUGUCUUGAAAUCAAGGUACUUCCCGGAGGGAGAGUUCUUGGAUGCGCCACUUGGACCAAAUGUUGGAAAUAUGCCCUAGAGGCAAUAAUAAAAUGGUUAUUAUUGUGUUUCCUUGUUCAUGAUAAUUGUCUAUUGUUCAUGCUAUAAUUGUAUUAACUGGAAACCGUAAUACAUGUGUGAAUACAUAGACCACAACAUGUCCCUAGUAAGCCUCUAGUUGACUAGCUCGUUGAUCAAUAGAUGGUUAUGGUUUCCUGACCAUGGACAUUGGAUGUCAUUGAUAACGGGAUCACAUCAUUAGGAGAAUGAUGUGAUGGACAAGACCCAAUCCUAAGCAUAGCACAAGAUCGUGUAGUUCGUUUGCUAAGAGCUUUUCUAAUGUCAAGUAUCAUUUCCUUAGACCAUGAGAUUGUGCAACUCCCGGAUACCGUAGGAAUGCUUUGGGUGUACCAAACGUCACAACGUAACUGGGUGGCUAUAAAGGUGCACUACAGGUAUCUCCGAAAGUGUCUGUUGGGUUGGCACGAAUCGAGACUGGGAUUUGUCACUCCGUAUGACGGAGAGGUAUCUCUGGGCCCACUCGGUAAUGCAUCAUCAUAAUGAGCUCAAUGUGACUAAUCAGUUAGCCACGGGAUCAUGUGUUACGGAACGAGUAAAGAGACUUGCCGGUAACGAGAUUGAACGAGGUAUUGGGAUACCGACGAUCGAAUCUCGGGCAAGUAACAUACCGAUAGACAAAGGGAAUUGUAUACGGGAUUGAUUGAAUCCCCGACAUCGUGGUUCAUCCGAUGAGAUCAUCGUGGAACAUGUGGGAGCCAAUAUGGGUAUCCAGAUCCCGCUAUUGGUUAUUGGCCGGAGAGGUGUCUCGGUCAUGUCUGCAUGGUUCCCGAACCCGUAGGGUCUACACACUUAAGGUUCGGUGAUGCUAGAGUUGUUAUGGGAAAUAGUAUGUGGUUACCGAAGGUUGUUCGGAGUCCCAAAUGAGAUCCCGGACGUGACGAGGAACUCCGGAGUGGUCCAGAGGUGAAGAUCGAUAUAUUGGACGAAGGGUAUUGGACUCCGGAAUUGUUCUGCGAGUACCGGGUGACGACCAGCGUGACCGAAAGGUGUUUCGGAGGCCCCGGCAAGCGUUGGGGGGCCUUAUGGGCCAAGGGGAGGGGGCACACCAGCCCACUAAGGGGCUGUGCGCCCCUCCCAACCCCUCUCACGUAACGUGGAGAGGUGGGGGCGCCUCCCCUAGGGCAGCCACCCCUCCCGGCUUGGGGGGCAAGUUUCCCAGGGGUGGGGGCGCCCAAACCCAUCUAGGGUUUCCCCUGUGGCCGCCGCCCCUCCCCUAGGGAACCCUAGGCCGCCUCCUCCACCCCCUUCCCCCUAUAUAUAGUGAGGGAGAGAGAGGGCAGUCGCACCCCUUUGCCUGGGGCAGCCCUCUCCUCCUCCAACUCCUCCUCCUCCGUAGUGCUUAGCGAAGCUCUGCCGGAGAACCACGAGCUCCAUUGCCACCAUGCCGUCGUGCUGCUGGAGUUCUCACUCAACUUCUCCUCUCCCCUUGUUGGAUCAAGAAGGAGGAGACGUCCCUGGGCUGUACGUGUGUUGAACGCGGAGGCGCCGUCCGUUCGGCGCUAGCUCGGAUUUUCCGUGAUUUGAAUCGCCGCGAGUACGACUCCAUCAACCGCGUUCUUGUAACGCUUCCGCUUAGUGAUCUUCAAGGGUAUGAAGAUGCACUCCCUCUCUCUCGUUGCUAGCAUCUCCUAGAUUGAUCUUGGUGACACGUAGGAAAAUUUUGAAUUAUUACUACGUUCCCCAACAGUGGUAUUAGAGCUAGGUCUAUGCGUAGAUUCUAUGCACGAGUAGAACACAAAGUAGUUGUGGGCGAUGAUUUGUUCAAUUUGCUUGCCGUUACUUGUCUUAUCUUGAUUCGGCGGCAUUGUGGGAUGAAGCGGCCUGGACCGACCUUACACGUACUCUUACGUGAGACAGGUUCCACCGACUGACAUGCACUUGAUGCAUAAGGUGGCUAGCGGGUGUCUGUCUCUCCCACUUUAGUCGGAUGGGAUUCGAUGAAGAGGGUCCUUAUGAAGGGUAAAUAGCAAUUGGCAUAUCACCAUUGUGGCUUUUGCGUAGGUAAGAAACGUUCUUGCUAGAAACCCAUAGCAGCCACGUAAAACAUGCAACAACAAUUAGAGGACGUCUAACUUGUUUUUGCAGGGUAUGCUAUGUGAUAUGGCCAAAAGGAUGUGAUGAAUUAUAUAUAUGUGAUGUAUGAGAUUGAUCAUGUUCUUGUAAUAGGAAUCAUGACUUGCAUGUCAAUGAGUAUGACAACCGGCAGGAGCCAUAGGAGUUGUCUUAAUUUAUUGUAUGACCUGCGUGUCAAUGAAAAAACGCCAUGUAAUUACUUUACUUUAUUGCUAACCGUUAGCCAUAGUAGAAGUAAUAGUUGGCGAGACAACUUCAUGAAGACACGAUGAUGGAGAUCAUGGUGUCAUGCUGGUGAUGAAGGUGAUCAUGCCGCGCCUCGAAGAUGGAGAUCAAAAGGCGCAAGAUGAUAUUGGCCAUAUCAUGUCACUUUAUGAUUUGCAUGUGAUGUUUGUCAUGUUUACAUCUUAUUUGCUUAGAACGACGGUAGCAUAAAUAAGAUGAUCCCUCACUAAAAUUUCAAGAGAUGUGUUCCCCCUAACUGUGCAUCGUUGCGAAGGUUCGUUGUUUCGAAGCACCACGUGAUGAUCGGGUGUGAUAGAUUCUAACGUUCGCAUACAACAGGUGUAAGCCAGAUUUACACAUGCGAAACACUUAGGUUGACUUGAUGAGCCUAGCAUGUACAGACAUGGCCUCGGAACACAAGAGACCUAAAGGUCGAACAUGAGUCGUAUAGUAGAUACGAUCAACAUGGAGAUGUUCACCGUUGAUGACUAGUCCGUCUCACGUGAUGAUCGGACAUGGUCUAGUCGAUUCGGAUCAUGUAUCACUUAGAUGACUAGAGGGAUGUCUAUCUAAGUGGGAGUUCAUUAAAUAAUCAGAUGAACUUAAUUGUCAUGAACAUAGUCAAAAGGUCUUUGCAAAUUAUGUCAUAGCUUACACUUUAGUUCUACUGUUUAAGAUAUGUUCCUAGAGAAAAUUUAGUUGAAAGUUGAAAGUAGCAAUUAUGCGGACUGGGUUCGUAAACUGAGGAUUGUCCUCAUUGCUGCACAGAAGGCUUAUGUCCUUAAUGCACCGCUCGGUGUGCUGAACCUCGAGCGUCGUGUGUAGAUGUUGCGAACAUCUGACAUACACGUUUUGAUGACUACGUGAUAGUUCAGUGCGUAAUGUUAACGGUUUAGAAUUGAGGCGCCAAAGACGUUUUUGAAACGUCGCAAAACAUAUGAGAUGUUCCAAAGACUGAAAUUGGGAUUUCAGACUGGUGCCCACGUCAAGAGGUAUGAGACCUCUGACAAGUUUGUUAAGCCUGCAAACUAAGGGAGAAAAGCUCAAUCGUUGAGCAUGUGCUCAGAUUGUCUGAGUACUACAAUCGCUUGAAUCGAGUGGGAGUUAAUCUUCCAGAUGAGAUAGUGAUGGUUCUCCAUAGUCACUGCCACCAAGCUAUUAGAGCUUCGUGAUGAACUAUAACAUAUCAAGGAUAGACAUGAUGAUCCUCGCGAUGUUUGACACCGCGAAAGUAGAAAUCAAGUAGGAGCAUCAAUUGUCGAUGGUUAGUAAAACCACUAGUUUCGAAAAGGGCAAGGGAAAGAAGGGAUACUUCAUGAAUCGGCAAAUCAGUUGCUGCUCUAGUGAAGAAACCCAAGGUUGAACCCAAACCCGAGACUAAGUGCUUCAGUAAUGAGGGGAAUAGUCACUGAAGCAGAACUACCCUAGAUACUUGGUAGAUGAGAAGGCAGGCAAGGUCGACAGAAGUAUAUUGGAUAUACAUUAUAUUAAUGUGUACUUUACUAGUACUCCAAGUAGCACUAGGUUAUUAGAUACCGGUUCAGUUGCUAAGUGUUGGUAACUCGAAAUAAAAGGCUACGGAAUAAACGGAGACUAGCUAAAGGUGAGAUGAUGAUAUGUGUUGGAAGUGUUUCCAAGGUUGAUGUGAUCAAGCAUCGCAUGCUCCCUCUACCAUCGAGAUUGGUGUUAAACCUAAAUAAUUGUUAUUUGGUGUUUGCGUUGAGCAUAGACAUGAUUGGAUUAUGUUUAUCGCAAUACGAUUAUUCAUUUAAGGAGAAUAAUGGUUACUCUGUCUAUUUGAAUAAUACCUUCAAUGGUCUUGCACCUAAAAUGAACGGUUUAUUGAAUCUCGAUCGUAGUGAUACACAUGUUCAUGCCAAAAGAUAUAAGAUAGUAAUGAUAGUACCACAUACUUGUGGCACUGCCACUUGAGUCAUAUUGGUAUAAAACGCAUGAAGAAGCUCCAUGUUGAUGGAUCUUUGGACUCACUCGUUUUUGAAAAGAUUGAGACAUGCGAACCAUGUCUAUUAAUAUAUAUGCAUGAAGAAAGUCCAUACAGAUGGAUCGUUUGGACUCACUUGAUUUUGAAUCACUUGAGACAUGCAAAUAAUACCACAUGGGCAAGAUGACUGAAAGGCCUCGUUUUAAGUAAGAUGGAACAAGAAAGCAACUUGUUGGAAGUAAUACAUUUUGAUGUGUGCAGUCCAAUGAGUGCUGAGGCAUGCAGUGGAUAUCGUUAUGUUCUUACUUCACAGAUGAUUUGAGUAGAUGCUGAGUAUAUUUACUUGAUGAAACACAAGUCUGAAUUCUUGAAAGGUUCAAGUAAUUUCAGAGUGAAGUUGAAGAUCGUCGUGACAAGAGGAUAAAAUGUCUGUGAUAUGAUCAUAGAGAUGAAUAUCUGAGUUAGGAGUUUGGCACACAAUUAAUACAUUGUGGAAAUUGUUUCACAACUAAUACCGCCUAGAACUCCAUAGUGCGGUGGUGUGUCCGAACAUCAUAACUGCACCCUAUUGGAUAUGGUGCAUACCAUGAUGUCUCUUAUCGAAUUACCGCUAUCAUUUAUGGGUUAGGCAUUAGAGACAACCACAUUCACUUUAAAUAGGGCACCACGCAAUUCCGUUGAGAUGACACCGUAUGAACUAUGGUUUAGAGAAACCUAAGCUGUCGUUUCUUAAAAGUUUGGGGCUGCGACGCUUAUGUGAAAAAGUUUCAGGCUGAUAAGCUCGAACCCAAAGCGGAUAAAUGCAUCUUCAUAGAAUACCCAAAACAGUUGGAUAUACCUCCUAUUUCAGAUCGGGAAGCAAAGUGAUUGUUUCUAGAAACAGGUCCUUUCUCGAGGAAAAGUUUCUCUCGAAAGAAUUGAGUGGGAGGAUGGUGGAGACUUGAUGAGGUUAUUGAACCAUCACUUCAACUAGUGUGUAGCAGGGCACAGGAAGUUGUUCCUGUGGCACCUACACCAAUUGAAGUGGAAGCUUAUGAUAGUGAUCAUGAAACUUCGGAUCAAGUCACUACCAAACCUCGUAGGUCGACAAGGAUGCGUACUAUUCAGAGUGGUACGCAAUCCUGUCUUGGAAGUCAUGUUGCUAGACAACAAUGAACCUACGAGCUAUGGGGAAGCGAUGGUGGGCCCAGAUUCCGACGAUUAGCUCGAGGCCAUAAAAUCCGAGAGAGGAUCCAUGUAUAAAAACAAAGUAUAGACUUUGGAAGAACUACUUGAUGGUCGUAAGGCUGUUGGGUGCAGAUGGAUUUUAAAAGGAAGACGGACAAUUAUGGUAAGUGUCACCAUUAAGAAAGCUCGACUUGUCGUUAAGAAGAUUUCCGACAAGUUCAAGGAGUUGACUACGAUGAGAUUUUCUCACUCGUAGCGAUGCUAAGAGUCUGUUGGAAUUAUAUUAGCAGUUACUGCAUUAUUUAUGAAAUCUUGCAAAUAGGAUGUCAAAACAUUGUUUCCUCGACGAUUUUCUUGAGGAAAGAUUGUAUGUGAUACAACAAGAAGGUUUUGUCAAUCCUGAAGAUGCUAACAAGUAUGCAAAGCUCCAGCAAUCCUUCUAAGGACUGGAGUAAGCAUCUCGGAGUUGGAAUGUACGCUUUGAUGAGAUGAUCAAAGAUUUUGGGUUUAUACAAAGUUUAUGAGAAACUUGUAUUUCCAAAGAAGUGAGUGGGAGCACUAUAGAAUUUUUGAUGAGUAUAUGUUGUUAACAUAUUGUUGAUCAGAAAUGAUGUAGAAUUUCUGGAAAGCAUACAUGGUUAUUUGAAAAGUGUUUUUCAAUGGAAAACCUGUAUUAAGCUACUUGAACAUUGAGCAUCAAGAUCUAUAAGGAUAGAUCAAAAACGCUUAAUAGUACUUUCAAAUGAAUACAUACCGUGACAAGAUUUUGAAGGAGUUCAAAAUAGAUCAGCAAAGAAGGAGUUCUUGGCUGUGUUACAAGGUAUGAGUAUUGAGUAAGACUCAAGACCUGACCACGGCAGAAGAGAGAAAAAGGACGAAGGUCGUCCCCUAUGCUUUAGACGUAGGCUCUACAGUAUGCUAUGCUGUGUACCGCACCUGAAGUGUGCCUUGCCAUGAAUUAGUCAAGGGGUACAAGAGUGAUCCAGGAAUGGAUCACAUGACAGCGGUCGAACUUAUCCUUAGUAACUAGUGGACUAAGGAAUUUUCUCGAUUAUGGAGGUGGAAAAAGAGUUCGUCGUAAAGGGUUACGUCGAUGCAAACUUUGACACUAAUCCAGAUGACUCUGAGUAGUAAACCGGAUUCGUAUAGUAGAGCAGUUAUUUGGAAUAGCUCCAAGUAGCGCGUGGUAGCUGCAUCUACAAGACGACAUAGAGAUUUGUAAAGCACACACGGAUCUGAAAGGUUCAGACCCGUUGACUAAUAACCUCUCUCACAAGCGAGAUAUGAACAAACCCCAUGGGUGUUGGAUUCAUUACAAUCACAUAGUGAUCUGAACUAGAUUAUUGACUCUAGUGCAAGUGGGAGACUGUUGGAAAUAUGCCCUAGAGGCAAUAAUAAAACGGUUAUUAUUGUAUUUCCUUGUUCAUGAUAAUUGUCUAUUGUUCAUGCUAUAAUUGUAUUAACUGGAAACCGUAAUACAUGUGUGAAUACAUAGACCACAACAUGUCCCUAGUAAGCCUCUAGUUGACUAGCUCGUUGAUCAAUAGACGGUUAUGGUUUCCUGACCAUGGACAUUGGAUGUCAUUGAUAACGGGAUCACAUCAUUAGGAGAAUGAUGUGAUGGACAAGACCCAAUCCUAAGCAUAGCACAAGAUCGUGUAGUUCGUUUGCUAAGAGCUUUUCUAAUGUCAAGUAUCAUUUCCUUAGACCAUGAGAUUGUGCAACUCCCGGAUACCGUAGGAAGGCUUUGGGUGUACCAAACGUCACAACGUAACUAGGUGGCUAUAAAGGUGCACUACAGGUAUCUCCGAAAGUGUCUGUUGGGUUGGCACGAAUCGAGACUGGGAUUUGUCACUCCGUAUGACGGAGAGGUAUCUCUGGGCCCACUCGGUAAUGCAUCAUCAUAAUGAGCUCAAUGUGACUAAUCAGUUAGCCACGAGAUCAUGCGUUACGGAAUGAGUAAAGAGACUUGCCGGUAACGAGAUUGAACGAGGUAUUGGGAUACCGACGAUCGAAUCUCGGGCAAGUAACAUACCGAUAGACAAAGGGAAUUCUAUACGGGAUUGAUUGAAUCCCCGACAUCGUGGUUCAUCCGAUGAGAUCAUCGUGGAACAUGUGGGAGCCAAUAUGGGUAUCCAGAUCCCGCUAUUGGUUAUUGGCUGGAGAGGUGUCUCGGUCAUGUCUGCAUGGUUCCCGAACCCGUAGGUUCUACACACUUAAGGUUCGGUGACGCUAGAGUUGUUAUGGGAAAUAGUAUGUGGUUACCAAAGGUCGUUCGGAGUCCCGGAUGAGAUCCCGGACGUGACGAGGAACUCCGGAGUGGUCCGGAGGUGAAGAUCGAUAUAUUGGACGAAGGGUAUUGGAGUCCGGAAUUGUUCUGGGAGUACCGGGUGACGACCAGCGUGACCGAAAGGUGUUUCGGAGGCCCCGACAAGCGUUGGGGGCCCUUAUGGGCCAAGGGGAGGGGCACACCAGCCCACUAAGGGGCUGUGCGCCCCUCCCAACCCCUCUCACGUAACGUGGAGAGGUGGGGGCGCCUCCCCUAGGGCAGCCACCCCUCCCGGCUUGGGGGGCAAGUUUCCCAGGGGUGGGGGCGCCCAAACCCAUCUAGGGUUUCCCCUGUGGCCGCCGCCCCUCCCCUAGGGAACCCUAGGGCGCCUCCUCCACCCCCUUCCCCCUAUAUAUAGUGAGGGAGAGAGAGGGCAGCUGCACCCCUUUCCCUGGUGCAGCCCUCUCCUCCUCCAACUCCUCCUCCUCCUCCGUAGUGCUUAGCGAAGCUCUGCCGGAGAACCACGAGCUCCAUUGCCACCAUGCCGUCGUGUUGCUGGAGUUCUCCCUCAACUUCUCCUCUCCCCUUGCUGGAUCAAGAAGGAGGAGACGUCCCCGGGCUGUACUUGUGUUGAACGCGGAGGCGCCGUCCGUUCGGCGCUAGAUCGGAUUUUCCGCGAUUUGAAUCGCUGCGAGUACGACUCCAUCAACCGCGUUCUUGUAACGCUUCCGCUUAGCGAUCUUCAAGGGUAUGAAGAUGCACUCCCUCUCUCUCAUUGCUAGCAUCUCCUAGAUUGAUCUUGGUGACACGUAGGAAAAUUUUGAAUUAUUACUACUUUCCCCAACACCUAACCCAUCUCAGGUGUGGCGCUCAAUGAGGGAAGGAAGAGAAGUUCUGUCCCUGGGCUUGAUUAAGCGUAUAGGUACGGGGGAAGACACUCAAAUUUGGCAGCACAACUGGCUACCGAGGGAUUUCAAGCUGAGACCGAUCUGCUCUCGAUCAGCUAACCCGCCCCUGUUGGUGUCUGAUCUCAUUAAUCAGUCAACCAGGAUAUGGAAUAGGCAAGUAUUAGAGGAUCACUUCAAUGCACCAGACAUAGAUGUCAUUCUGAAUAUUCCGGUUAGUACGCGAGUGCAUGAAGACUUCUGGGCGUGGCACUAUGAUCGUAGGGGCUUAUUCUCAGUACGUUCUACUUACAGAAUGAUCUCUGGAAUUAAAUUUCAGCGAGAAGACUGGUUGGAAAAUCGAACAAGCAACUCGAACCAAACGGCGACGAAGAAUGACUGGUCAAGACUGUGGAAAACAGAGGUGCCAUCAAAGGUCCGGGUUUUUGUGUGGCGUUUGGCCCACACGUCUCUGCCGACGGGAUCGACCAGACACGAGAGGAAGAUGGCUACAUCUCCAGUAUGCGCGAUAUGCUCGGUGACCGAAGAUACUUGGCGUCAUUCUCUUCUCAACUGCCGGAUGGCUCGGUGUGUCUGGUCUUUGGGAGAUGAAGGUAUUCUUGAGCAUGUGAUAUCAAAUCAAGAUGAAGACGCAAGACAGUGGCUCUUUUGUGUUGGAAAUAUGCCCUAGAGGCAUAAUAAAAUGGUUAUUAUUGUAUUUCCUUGUUCAUGAUAAUUGUCUAUUGUUCAUGCUAUAAUUGUAUUAACUGGAAACCGUAAUACAUGUGUGAAUACAUAGACCACAACAUGUCCCUAGUGAGCCUCUAGUUGACUAGCUCGUUGAUCAAUAGAUGGUUAUGGUUUCCUUACCAUGGACAUUGGAUGUCAUUGAUAACGGGAUCACAUCAUUAGGAGAAUGAUGUGAUGGACAAGACCCAAUCCUAAGCAUAGCACAAGAUCGUGUAGUUCGUUUGCUAGAGCUUUUCUAAUGUCAAGUAUCGUUUCCUUAUACCAUGAGAUUGUGCAACUCCCGGAUACCGUAGGAAUGCUUUGGGUGUACCAAACGUCACAACGUAACUGGGUGGCUAUAAAGGUGCACUACAGGUAUCUCCGAAAGUGUCUGUUGGGUUGGUACGAAUCGAGACUGGGAUUUGUCACCCCGUAUGACGGAGAGGUAUCUCUAGGCCCACUCGGUAAUGCAUCAUCAUAAUGAGCUCAAUGUGACUAAUGAGUUAGCCACGGGAACAUGCGUUACGGAACGAUUAAAGAGACUUGCCGGUAACGAGAUUGAACAAGGUAUAGGGAUACCGACGAUCGAAUCUCGGGUAAGUAACAUACCGAUAGACAAAGGGAAUUGUAUACGUGAUUGAUUGAAUCCCCAACAUCGUGGUUAAUCCGAUGAGAUCAUCGUGGAACAUGUGGGAGCCAAUAUGGGUAUCCAGAUCCCGCUAUUGGUUAUUGGCCGGAGAGGUGUCUCGGUCAUGUCUGCAUGGUUCCCGAACCCGUAGGGUCUACACACUUAAGGUUCGGUGACGCUAGAGUUGUUAUGCGAAAUAGUAUGUGGUUACCGACGGUUGUUCGGAGUCCCGGAUGAGAUCCCAGACAUGACAAGGAGCUCCGGAAUGGUCCGGAGGUGAAGAUCGGUAUAUUGGACGAAGGGUAUUGGAGUCCGGAAUUGUUCCGGGGGUACCAGGCUAUGGCCAGCAUGUCCGAAAGGGGUUUCGGGGGCCCGGCAAGCGUUGGGGGGCCUUAUGGGCCAAGGGGAAGGGGAAAACCAGCCCACUAAGGGGCUGUGCGCCCCUCCCAACCCCUCUCACGUAACCAGGAGAGGUGGGGGCGCCACCCCUAGGGCAGCCGCCCCUCCCGGCUUUGGGGGCAAGUUUCCUAGGGGGUGGGAGCGCCCAAACCCAUCUAGGGUUUCCCCUGGACGCCGCCUCCUCCUCCUCUAGAUCCAUCUAGAGGGGCCGGCCACCCUCUCCCCUUCCCCCUAUAUAUAGUGAGGGGGUGGGAGGGCAGCCACAACCCUUUGCCUGGCGCUGCCCUCUCCUCCUCCAACUCCUCCUCCUCCUCCGUAGUGCUUAGCGAAGCUCUGCCGGAGAACCACGAGCUCCAUUGCCACCAUGCUGUCGUGCUGCUGGAGUUCUCCCUCAACUUCUCCUCUCCCCUUGCUGGAUCAAGAAGGAUGAGACGUCCCCGGGCUGUACGUGUGUUGAACGCGGAGGCGCCGUCCGUUCGGCGCUAGAUCGGAUCUUCCGCGAUUUGAAUCGCCGCGAGUACGACUCCAUCAACCGCGUUCUUGUAACGCUUCCGCUUAGCGAUCUUCAAGGGUAUGAAGAUGCACUCCCUCUCUCUCGUUGCUAGCAUCUCCUAGAUUGAUCUUGGUGACACAUAGGAAAAUUUUGAAUUAUUGCUACGUUCCCGAACAGUGGCAUCAUGAGCUAGGUCUAUGCGUAGAUUCUAUGCAUGAGUAGAACACAAAGUAGUCGUGGGCGAUGAUUUGGUCAAUUUGCUUGCCGUUACUAGUCUUAUCUUGAUUCGGCGGCAUUGUGGGAUGUAGCGGCCCGGACCGACCUUACACGUACUCUUACGUGAGACAGGUUCCACCGACUGACAUGCACUUGAUGCAUAAGGUGGCUAGCGGGUGUCUGUCUCUCCCACUUUAGUCGGAUGGGAUUCGAUGAAGAGGGUCCUUAUGAAUGGUAAAUAGCAAUUGGCAUAUCACCGUUGUGGCUUUUGCGUAGGUAAGAAACGUUCUUGCUAGAAACCCAUAGCAGCCACGUAAAACAUGCAACAACAAUUAGAGGACGUCUAACUUGUUUUUGCAGGGUAUGCUAUGUGAUGUGAUAUGGCCAAAAGGAUGUGAUGAAUUAUAUAUAUGUGAUGUAUGAGAUUGAUCAUGUUCUUGUAAUAGGAAUCACGACUUGCAUGUCGAUGAGUAUGACAACCGGCAGGAGCCAUAGGAGUUGUCUUAAUUUAUUGUAUGAGCUGCAUGUCAAUGAAAAACGCCAUGUAAUUACUUUACUUUAUUGCUAACUGUUAGCCAUAGUAGUAGAAGUAAUAGUUGGCGAGACAACUUCAUGAAGACACGAUGAUGGAGAUCAUGAUGAUGGAGAUCAUGGUGUCAUGCUGGUGAUGAAGGUGAUCAUGCCGCGCCUCGAAGAUGGAGAUCAAAAGGCGCAAGAUGAUAUUGGCCAUAUCAUGUCACUUUAUGAUUUGCAUGUGAUGUUUGUCAUGUUUACAUCUUAUUUGCUUAGAACGACGGUAGCAUAAAUAAGAUGAUCCCUCACUAAAAUUUCAAGAGAUGUGUUCCCCCUAACUGUGCACCGUUGCGAAGGUUCGUUGUUUCGAAGCACCACGUGAUGAUCGGGUGUGAUAGAUUCUAACGUUCGCAUACAACGGGUGUAAGCCAGAUUUACACAUGCGAAACACUUAGGUUGACUUGACGAGCCUAGCAUGUACAGACAUGGCCUCGGAACACAAGAGACCGAAAGGUCGAACAUGAGUCAUAUAGUAGAUACGAUCAACAUGGAGAUGUUCACCGUUGAUGACUAGUCCGUCUCACGUGAUGAUCGGACACGGUCUAGUCGAUUAGGAUCAUGUAUCACUUAGAUGACUAGAGGGAUGUCUAUCUAAGUGGGAGUUCAUUAAAUAAUCAGAUGAACUUAAUUAUCAUGAACAUAGUCAAAAGGUGUUUGCAAAUUAUGUCAUAGCUUACGCUUUGGUUCUACUGUUUAAGAUAUGUUCCUAGAGAAAAUUUAGUUAAAAGUUGAUAGUAGCAAUUAUGCGGACUGGGUCCGUAAACUGAGGAUUGUCCUCAAUGCUGCGCAGAAGGCUUAUGUCCUUAAUGCACCGCUCGGUGUGCUGAACCUCAAGCGUUGUCUGUGGAUGUUGCAAACAUCUGACAUACACGUUUUGAUGACUAUGUGAUAGUUCAGUGCGUAAUGCUAACGGUUUAGAAUUGAGGCGCCAAAGACGUUUUUGAAACGUCGCAGAACAUAUGAGAUGUUCCAAAGACUGAAAUUGGGAUUUCAGACUAGUGCCCACGUCAAGAGGUAUGAGACCUCUGACAAGUUUGUUAAGCCUGCAAACUAAGGGAGAAAAGCUCAUUCGUUGAGCAUGUGCUCAGAUUGUCUGAGUACUACAAUCGCUUGAAUCGAGUGGGAGUUAAUCUUCCAGAUGAGAUAGUGAUGGUUCUCCAAAGUUACUGCCACCAAGCUACUAGAGCUUCGUGAUGAACUGUAACAUAUUAGGGAUAGAUAUGAUGAUCCUUGAGCAACUCGCGAUGUUUGACACCGCGAAAGUAGAAAUCAAGUAGGAGCAUCAAUUGUUGAUGGUUAGUAAAACCACUAGUUUCAAGAAGGGCAAGGGAAAGAAGGGAUACUUCAUGAAACGGCAAAUCAGUUGCUGCUCUAGUGAAGAAACCCAAGGUUGAACCCAAACCCGAGACUAAGUGCUUCUGUAAUGAGGGGAACGGUCACUGAAGCAAACUACCCUAGAUACUUGGUAGAUGAGAAGGCAGGCAAGGUCGACAGAAGUAUAUUGGAUAUACAUUAUAUUAAUGUUUACUUUACUAGUACUCCUAGUAGCACCAGGGUAUUAGAUACCGGUUCGGUUGCUAAGUGUUGGUAUCUCGAAAUAAAAGGCUACGGAAUAAACAGAGACUAGCUAAAGGUGAGAUGACGAUAUGUGUUGGAAGUGUUUCCAAGGUUGAUGUAAUCAAACAUCAUACGCUCCCUCUACCAUCGGGAUUGGUAUUAAACCUAAAUAAUUGUUAUUUGGUGUUUGCGUCGAGCAUAGACAUGAUUGGAUUAUGUUUAUCGCAAUACAGUUAUUCAUUUAAGGAGAAUAAUGGUUACUCUGUUUAUUUGAAUAAUACCUUCAAUGGUCUUGCACCUAAAAUGAAUGGUUUAUUGAAUCUCGAUCGUAGUGAUACACAUGUUCAUGCCAAAAGAUAUAAAAUAGUAAUGAUAGUACCACAUACUUGUGGCACUGCUAUUUGAGUCAUAUUGGUAUAAAACGCAUGAAGAAGCUCCAUGUUGAUGGAUCUUUGGACUCACUCAUUUUUGAAAUGAUUGAGACAUGCAAACCAUGUCUAUUGGUAGAUAUGCAUGAAGAAACUCCAUACAGAUGGAUUGUUUGGACUCACUUGAUUUUGAAUCACUUGAGACAUGCAAAUCAUAACACAUGGGCAAGAUGACUGAAAGGCCUCGUUUUCAGUAAGAUGGCACAAGAAAGCAACUUGUUGGAAGUAAUACAUUUUGAUGUGCGCAGUCCAAUGAGUGCUAAGGCAUGCAGUGGAUAUCGUUAUGUUCUUACUUCACAGAUGAUUUGAGUAGAUGCUGAGUAUAUUUACUUGAUGAAACACAAGUCUGAAUUAUUGAAAGGUUCAAGUAAUUUCAGAGUGAAGUUGAAGAUCGUCAUGACAAGAGGAUAAAAUGUCUGUGAUAUGAUCAUAGUGAUGAAUAUCUGAGUUACGAGUUUGGCACUCAAUUAAGACAUUGUGGAAAUUGUUUCACAACUAAUACUUCCUGGAACACCAUAGUGUGAUGGUGUGUCCGAACAUCAUAACUGCACCCUAUUGGAUAUGGUGCAUACCAUGAUGUCUCUUAUCGAAUUACCGCUAUCGUUUAUGGGCUAGGCAUUAGAGACAACCGCAUUCACUUUAAAUAGGGCACCACACAAUUCCGUUGAGACGACACCGUAUGAACUAUGUUUAGAGAAACCUAAGCUGUCGUUUCUUACAAGUUUGGGGCUGCGACGCUUAUGUGAAAAAGUUUCAGGCUCAUAAGCUCGAACCCAAAGCGGAUAAAUGCAUCUUCAUAGAAUACCCAAAACAGUUGGGUAUACCUCCUAUUUCAGAUCUGGAAGCAAAAGUGAUUGUUUCUAGAAACGGGUCCUUUCUCAAGGAAAAGUUUCUCUCGAAAGAAUUGAGUGGGAGGAUGGUGGAGACUUGAUGAGGUUAUUGAACCGUCACUUCAACUAGUGUGUAGCAGGGCACAGGAAGUUGUUCCUAUGGCACCUACACCAAUUGAAGUGGAAGCUUAUGAUAGUGAUCAUGAAACUUCGGAUCAAGUCACUUCCAAACCUCGUAGGUCGACAAGGAUGCGUACUACUUCAGAGUGGUACGUAAUCCUAUCUUGGAAGUCAUGUUGCUAGACAACAAUGAACCUACGAGCUAUGGAUAAGCGAUGGUGGGCCCGGAUUCCGACGAAUGGCACGAGGCCAUAAAAUCCAAGAGAGGAUCCAUGUAUAAAAACAAAGUAUAGACUUUGGAAGAACUACUUGAUGGUCGUAAGGCUGUUGGGAGCAGAUGGAUUUUAAAAGGAAGACAGACAAUGAUGGUAAGUGUCACCAUUAAGAAAGCUCAACUUGUCGUUAAGAUGUUUUCCGACAAGUUCAAGGAGUUGACUGCGAUGAGACUUUCUCACUCGUAGCGAUGCUAAGAGUCUGUUGGAAUUAUAUUUGCAGUUACUGCAUUAUUUAUGAAAUCUUGCAGAUAGGAUGUCAAAACAUUGUUUCCUCGAUGAUUUUCUUGAGGAAAGGUUGUAUGUGAUACAACCAGAAGGUUUUGUCAAUCCUGAAAGAUGCUAACAAGUAUGCAAAGCUCCAACAAUCCUUCUAAGGACUGGAGUAAGCAUCUCGGAGUUGGAAUGUAUGCUUUGAUGAGAUGAUCAAAUAUUUUGUGUUUUUACAAAGUUUAUGAGAAACUUGUAUUUCCAAAGAAGUAAGUGGGAGCACUAUAGAAUUUUUGAUGAGUAUAUGUUGUUAACAUAUUGUUGAUCAGAAAUGAUGUAGAAUUUCUGGAAAGCAUACAGGGUUAUUUGAAAAGUGUUUUUCAAUGGAAACCCUGGAUUAAGCUACUUGAACAUUGAGCAUCAAGAUCUAUAAGGAUAGAUCAAAAACACUUAAUAGUACUUUCAAAUGAAUACAUACCGUGACAGGAUUUUGAAGGAGUUCAAAAUAGAUCAGCAAAGAAGGAGUUCUUGGCUGUGUUACAAGGUGUGAGUCUUGAGUAAGACUCAAGACCUGACCACGGCAGAAGAGAGAGAAAGGACGAAGGUCGUCCCCUAUGAUUUAGACGUAGGCUCUACAGUAUGCUAUGCUGUGUACCGCACUUGAAGUGUGCCUUGCCAUGAGUUAGUCAAGGGGUACAAUAGUGAUCUAGGAAUGGAUCACAUGAAAGCGGUCGAACUUAUCCUUAGUAACUAGUGGACUAAGGAAUUUUCUCGAUUAUGGAGGUGACAAAAGAGGUCGUCGUAAAGGGUUACGUCGAUGCAAACUUUGACACUAAUCUGGAUGACUCGGAGUAGAAAACCAGAUUCGUAUAGUAGAGCAGUUAUUUGGAAUAGCUACAAGUAGUGCGUGGUAGCUGCAUCUACAAGAUGACAUAGAGAUUUGCAAAGCACACACGGAUCUAAAAGGUUCAGACCCGUUGACUAAAAACCUCUCUCGUAAGCAUAAAAUGAUCAAACCCUAGAACUCAAUGAGUGUUAAUCACAUGAUGAUGUGAACUAGAUUAUUGACUCUAGUAAACUCUUGGGUAUUGUUCACAUGGCGAUGUGAACUUUGAGUGUUAAUCACAUGGUGAUGUGAACUAGAUUAUUGACUCUAGUGCAAGUGGGAGACUGUUGGAAAUAUUCCCUAGAGGCAAUAAUAAAAUGGUUAUUAUUGUAUUUCCUUGUUCAUGAUAAUUGUCUAUUGUUCAUGCUAUAAUUGUUUUAACUGGAAACCGUAAUACAUGUGUGAAUACAUAGACCACAACAUGUCCCUAGUGAGCCUCUAGUUGACUAGCUCGUUGAUCAAUAGAUGGUUAUGGUUUCCUUACCAUGGACAUUGGAUGUCAUUGAUAACAGGAUCACAUCAUUAGGAGAAUGAUGUGAUGGACAAGACCCAAUCCUAAGCAUAGCACAAGAUCGUGUAGUUCGUUUGCUAGAGCUUUCCUAAUGUCAAGUAUCGUUUCCUUAGACCAUGAGAUUGCGCAACUCCCGGAUACCGUAGGAAUGCUUUGGGUGUACCAAACGUCACAACGUAACUGGGUGGCUAUAAAGGUGCACUACAGGUAUCUCCGAAAGUGUCUGUUGGGUUGGUACGAAUCGAGACUGGGAUUUGUCACUCCGUAUGACAGAGAGGUAUCUCUGGGCCCACUCGGUAAUGCAUCAUCAUAAUGAGCUCAAUGUGACUAAUGAGUUAGCCACGGGAUCAUGCGUUACGGAACGAGUAAAGAGACUUGCCGGUAACGAGAUUGAACAAGGUAUAGGGAUACCGACGAUCGAAUCUCGGGCAAGUAACAUACCGAUAGACAAAGGGAAUUGUAUACGGGAUUGAUUGAAUCCCCAACAUCGUGGUUCAUCCGAUGAGAUCAUCGUGGAACAUGUGGGAGCCAAUAUGGGUAUCCAGAUCCCGCUAUUGGUUAUUGGCCGGAGAAGUGUCUCGGUCAUGUCUGCAUGGUUCCCGAACCCGUAGGGUCUACACACUUUAGGUUUGGUUAUGCUAGAGUUGUUAUGGGAAAUAGUAUGUGGUUACCGAAGGUUGUUCGGAGUCCCGGAUGAGAUCCCGGACAUGACGAGGAGCUCCGGAAUGGUCCGGAGGUGAAGAUCGGUAUAUUGGACGAAGGGUAUUGGAGUCCAAAAUUGUUCCGCGGGUACCAGGCUAUGGCCAGCAUGUCCGAAAGGGGUUUCGGAGGCCCGGCAAGCGUUGGGGGGCCUUAUAGGCCAAGGGGAAGGGGAAAACCAGCCCACUAAGGGGCUGUGCGCCCCUCCCAACCCCUCUCACGUAACCAGGAGAGGUGGGGGCGCCACCCCUAGGGCAGCCGCCCCUCCCGGCUUUGGGGGCAAGUUUCCUAGGGGGUGGGGGCGCCCAAACCCAUCUAGGGUUUCCCCUGGCCGCCGCCUCCUCCUCUAGAUCCAUCUAGAGGGGCCGGCCCCCUCUCCCCUUCCCCCUAUAUAUAGUGAGGGGGUGGGAGGGCAGCCACAACCCUUUGGCUGGCGCUGCCCUCUCCUCCUCCAACACCUCCUCCUCCUCCGUAGUGCUUAGCGAAGCUCUGCCGGAGAACCACGAGCUCCAUUGCCACCAUGCCGUCGUGCUGCUGGAGUUCUCCCUCAACUUCUCCUCUCCCCUUGUUGGAUCAAGAAGGAUGAGACGUCCCCGGGCUGUACGUGUGUUGAACGCGGAGGCGCCGUCCGUUCGGCGCUAGAUUGGAUCUUCCACGAUUUGAAUCGCCGCGAGUACGACUCCAUCAACCGCGUUCUUGUAAUGCUUCCGCUUAGCGAUCUUCAAGGGUAUGAAGAUGCACUUCCUCUCUCUCGUUGCUAGCAUCUCCUAGAUUGAUCUUGGUGACACGUAGGAAAAUUUUGAAUUAUUGCUACGUUCCCCAACAGUGGCAUCAUGAGCUAGGUCUAUGCGUAGAUUCUAUGCACGAGUAGAACACAAAGUAGUUGUGGGCGAUGAUUUGUUCAAUUUGCUUGCCGUUACUAGUCUUAUCUUGAUUCGGCGGCAUUGUGGGAUUUAGCGGCCCGGACCGACCUUACACGUACUCUUACGUGAGACAGGUUCCACCGACUGACAUGCACUUGAUGCAUAAGGUGGCUAGCGGGUGUCUGUCUCUCCCACUUUAGUCGGAUGGGAUUCGAUGAAGAGGGUCCUUAUGAAGGGUAAAUAGCAAUUGGCAUAUCACCGUUGUGGCUUUUGCGUAGGUAAGAAACGUUCUUGCUAGAAACCCAUAGCAGCCACGUAAAACAUGCAACAACAAUUAGAGGACGUCUAACUUGUUUUUGCAGGGUAUGCUAUGUGAUGUGAUAUGGCCAAAAGGAUGUGAUGAAUUAUAUAUAUGUGAUGUAUGAGAUUGAUCAUGUUCUUGUAAUAGGAAUCACGACUUGCAUGUCGAUGAGUAUGACAACCGGCAGGAGCCAUAGGAGUUGUCUUAAUUUAUUGUAUGACCUGCGUGUCAAUGAAAAACGCCAUGUAAUUACUUUACUUUAUUGCUAACCGUUAGCCAUAGUAGUAGAAGUAAUAGUUGGCGAGACAACUUCAUGAAGACAUGAUGAUGGAGAUCAUGGUGUCAUGCCGGUGACGAAGGUGAUCAUGCCGCGCCUCGAAGAUGGAGAUCAAAAGGCGCAAGAUGAUAUUGGCCAUAUCAUGUCACUUUAUGAUUUGCAUGUGAUGUUUGUCAUGUUUACAUCUUAUUUGCUUAGAACGACGGUAGCAUAAAUAAGAUGAUCCCUCACUAAAAUUUCAAGAGAUGUGUUCCCCCUAACUGUGCACCGUUGUGAAGGUUCGUUGUUUUGAAGCACCACGUGAUGAUCGGGUGUGAUAGAUUCUAACGUUCGCAUACAACGGGUGUAAGCCAGAUUUACACAUGCGAAACACUUAGGUUGACUUGACGAGCCUAGCAUGUACAGACAUGGCCUCGGAACACAAGAGACCGAAAGGUCGAACAUGAGUCGUAUAGUAGAUACGAUCAACAUGGAGAUGUUCACCGUUGAUGACUAGUCCGUCUCACGUGAUGAUCGGACACGGUCUAGUCGAUUCGGAUCAUGUAUCACUUAGAUGACUAGAGGGAUGUCUAUCUAAGUGGGAGUUCAUUAAAUAAUCAGAUGAACUUAAUUAUCAUGAACAUAGUCAAAAGGUGUUUGCAAAUUAUGUCAUAGCUUACGCUUUGGUUCUACUGUUUAAGAUAUGUUCCUAGAGAAAAUUUAGUUGAAAGUUGAUAGUAGCAAUUAUGCGGACUGGGUCCGUAAACUGAGGAUUGUCCUCAAUGCUGCGCAGAAGGCUUAUGUCCUUAAUGCACCGCUCGGUGUGCUGAACCUCAAGCGUUGUCUGUGGAUGUUGCGAACAUCUGACAUACACGUUUUGAUGACUACGUGAUAGUUCAGUGCGUAAUGCUAACGGUUUAGAAUUGAGGCGCCAAAGACGUUUUUGAAACGUCGCAGAACAUAUGAGAUGUUCCAAAGACUGAAAUUGGGAUUUCAGACUAGUGCCCACGUCAAGAGGUAUGAGACCUCUGACAAGUUUCUUAAGCCUGCAAACUAAGGGAGAAAAGCUCAUUCGUUGAGCAUGUGCUCAGAUUGUCUGAGUACUACAAUCGCUUGAAUCGAGUGGGAGUUAAUCUUCCAGAUGAGAUAGUGAUGGUUCUCCAAAGUUACUGCCACCAAGCUACUAGAGCUUCGUGAUGAACUGUAACAUAUUAGGGAUAGAUAUGAUGAUCCUUGAGCAACUCGCGAUGUUUGACACCGCGAAAGUAGAAAUCAAGUAGGAGCAUCAAUUGUUGAUGGUUAGUAAAACCACUAGUUUCAAGAAGGGCAAGGGAAAGAAGGGAUACUUCAUGAAACGGCAAAUCAGUUGCUGCUCUAGUGAAGAAACCCAAGGUUGAACCCAAACCCGAGACUAAGUGCUUCUGUAAUGAGGGGAACGGUCACUGAAGCAAACUACCCUAGAUACUUGGUAGAUGAGAAGGCAGGCAAGGUCGACAGAAGUAUAUUGGAUAUACAUUAUAUUAAUGUUUACUUUACUAGUACUCCUAGUAGCACCAGGGUAUUAGAUACCGGUUCGGUUGCUAAGUGUUGGUAUCUCGAAAUAAAAGGCUACGGAAUAAACAGAGACUAGCUAAAGGUGAGAUGACGAUAUGUGUUGGAAGUGUUUCCAAGGUUGAUGUAAUCAAACAUCAUACGCUCCCUCUACCAUCGGGAUUGGUAUUAAACCUAAAUAAUUGUUAUUUGGUGUUUGCGUCGAGCAUAGACAUGAUUGGAUUAUGUUUAUCACAAUACAGUUAUUCAUUUAAGGAGAAUAAUGGUUACUCUGUUUAUUUGAAUAAUACCUUCAAUGGUCUUGCACCUAAAAUGAAUGGUUUAUUGAAUCUCGAUCGUAGUGAUACACAUGUUCAUGCCAAAAGAUAUAAAAUAGUAAUGAUAGUACCACAUACUUGUGGCACUGCCAUUUGAGUCAUAUUGGUAUAAAACGCAUGAAGAAGCGCCAUGUUGAUGGAUCUUUGGACUCACUCAUUUUUGAAAAGAUCGAGACAUGCAAACCAUGUCUAUUGGUAGAUAUGCAUGAAGAAACUCCAUACAGAUGGAUCGUUUGGACUCACUUGAUUUUGAAUCACUUGAGACAUGCAAAUCAUAACACAUGGGCAAGAUGACUGAAAGGCCUCGUUUUCAGUAAGAUGGCACAAGAAAGCAACUUGUUGGAAGUAAUACAUUUUGAUGUGCGCAGUCCAAUGAGUGCUGAGGCAUGCAGUGGAUAUCGUUAUGUUCUUACUUCACAGAUGAUGUAGCGACCCGACCCAAAUGGAUCAAGUCUCUGUGCUUAAGUGUCAUCCCUGGAUCGGUAUGCUGACACACACAGUACUUGAGGAUUUAUAACAGAGGUAAAUCACAUGUAUAAAAUAACGUAAAUACUAUUACCUCAAUCCAAAUAGCGGAAGUAACAGGGUUGUGGAUUCCCAUCAACACCAACGGCAAAGUUGAGUGUAGAAAUCGUAACCCUAACGUAUCACUUACUCGUCGUAAGAAUCCUGCAACAUGAAACGUUGCAGCCCGAAAACGGGUCAGCACAUGGAAUAUGCUGGCAAAUUCACACCAUAGAGAAAUGUUGAACAAAGGCUAUCACUACAUGCAUAUAUGGCUGGUGGAAAAGCUCUAUUGUUAUAAUGUUUUUGCGAAAAGCCAAUUUUUCCCUACUUCAAAGGAAUAAACUUUAUUUAACUAUCAUGGUGGUUGUGAAACAUUGAGAUGGUUGACAGCAUCUCAAUCCCAAUUAAGUAACAUAAUUAACCCAACAAUAUUGAUUAAAGUAACAUGUUGAGAUCAACGGGAUAAUCCAAGAACUAGAUACUCAAGAUGUCCAUAACCGGGGACACGGCUAACCAUGAUUAGUUUGUACACUCUGCAGAGGUUUGCGCACUUUUCCCCACAAGACUCGAUCGCCUCCGCUUGAUUCUCGCACUGCAUGAUGUUUGAGAAACGGAUGACCGAGACACAGUCUUUCCGAAGAGGUCCCCUUAACCGAUAGAUAGGCCGGUACACCUACAAUCCCCUACAUCUGCUAGCCCAUCAUGGAAAGGUUUCCCACAACUUACUCAACUAUGCUAGAGCCCAUAAUAGCUUGUGGCUGCACACGGAAGUUUCUAGCAUGAAUAAUCUUAUGAUUCCUUUGAGCCUGGGUGGCGGUCCUUAUACAAACAGACAACACUGGGUUCUCCAGGUGCCUCAAUCCACCCAGAUGUGAGUUUUAGUUUCCACCUUAGGUAAACCAUUAUUAUCAAUCUCACAUCUGUCAUGAAUAUCUCUCAAACCCAAUCCACAUCUACGAGCAUAGCAUGGCAAUAUAAUAGCAACGUAGAAGUAACUCCCAAGGGUUUGAUAAUAAACAGGGCAAUAGGUACUACCUCAUCAACUACUUCCCAAUACCCACAUGUUAUCAAUCCUACUCAUGCAAUGUUCGAGGGUUGAAUCUAAUGCAUAAAAACUAGGUAUGAAAGGGAUAUGAUCAAAGUGUGAACUUGCCUGCAAUGUUGAUGAAGAUGAUUCGCACUCAAAACUCUUGAUAGAUCUACUCGUCACACUCCGGUCAAUCUAUCGUAAGCAAGCAAUGGUAACCACACAUAAGCAAUCACUCAAAAGAUCAGAAAGAACGAGGAAAACAAUUCGGAAAACUUCAAAACCAAGCAAUUAACUCUUGCAACAUAAAACAAUUUCUAACAGUACCAAAAUUAUGUGAAUUUGGCCUUAUCAGAAAGUUUAGGUCAAGAGCUUUGGUUUGCAAAAAGAAUCAACUCGAACGGAGUUAUAAAACUCAAGUUAUGAUCAAACGAAGUUUGAAUUCAAAUCUGAUCUAAUUCAAAUUUUAAAACUUUCAAAAACAUGUUUAAGUUGUUUUACUGGAUAGAGGGGAUCAUAACGAAGACGUGGGCGUUGGUUUCGUUGGAUUUGGACAAACGAGUGAAAAGUAGUGAUCGUUUGAAAAUCAGGGACUAAUCUGUAAAUAAAAUAACUACAACUAGGUCCCUGGCGAAAAUAACAGGAAAAAGAAAAAGCUAAAUAGCGAACGUGCGUUAACUAGUUCUAAACAGUGGACGUUCGUUGUUUAGAAAAACCUAAAUAUAACAGAUCUAGUCCAGGGUUUUUUUAACAAAACCAAAACGAAUAAAAAAAAUAAACCGGGGCGGUUCACGGUUUAUACCGGUUCGCGGCGGUCCGGCGGCGGACCGGGUCGGCGGUGGCGGGGUUCGCCGGCGUCAGAGAAGGGCGGCGGCAGCUCGGGCUCGACCGGAGCGGCGGCUCUGGUNNNNNNNNNNNNNNNNNNNNNNNNNNNNNNNNNNNNNNNNNNNNNNNNNNNNNNNNNNNNNNNNNNNNNNNNNNNNNNNNNNNNNNNNNNNNNNNNNNNNNNNNNNNNNNNNNNNNNNNNNNNNNNNNNNNNNNNNNNNNNNNNNNNNNNNNNNNNNNNNNNNNNNNNNNNNNNNNNNNNNNNNNNNNNNNNNNNNNNNNNNNNNNNNNNNNNNNNNNNNNNNNNNNNNNNNNNNNNNNNNNNNNNNNNNNNNNNNNNNNNNGGGCAGAGGAGUCCGAGGCGGGGACGUGGCCAUGGCGGCGCGGCGGCGUGCGGGAGGCGGAGUCCCGCCCGGGAGGUGGGGGACGCGCGGGCGUCGGGCUGGGCCGUGGCCUGGCUGGGUGCUGGGCCGGCCCAGUUCGGCGGAGGGUUUUUUUUUAUAAACAGAGAAAGAAAUAAUAAAAACAAAGAAAAUGAAAAUAUUAUAUAGGCAUAUAAUAUAUCAAAAUUUUCAGAAAAAGAUUUCCAACAACAUGGACAUUUUUACAACGCCAAAUAAAAUUCACACAAAUUUAAAUAAAUCAAACAGUGCUGCUGCCUUAAUAAAAUCCAAUAAAAAUCAUUUUAAAAAUACCAAAAUGAUUUCAAAUUUAUUUUUCUCCAAUUUUCUGAUGUAGGGAAUCAUUUUACCCUAAUUUCUGAAUAUUUUAUUUUUGGAGAAAAAUAAUUUGAAUAAAACUCAAAUAACCCCAAUAUUGAAAAAUAAUUUCAAUGGGACUUUGAUUUUAAUCCUUUGAGACUCCCAACUCAUAUUUCAUUUGUUUUGAAGAAGUCAUUUUAUCUUCUCUCGUGAAAAUCAUUGAGUUGCAUAAAGUUUCAGAAAUGGGAAAUAUUUUCAAAUGAAAUUCAAAUAUUUUCUACACCCCUUGUCAUUUAAAUAAAUGGAAGAAGUCAUGUCAUCUUCUCUCCAGGGUGUUGUGGUGAAAAGAAUUUGAAUUCAUGGAGAUCAUAAAAGCAAAAUGAAAGUUUGGGAAAGUCCUUUUAUCCCCUCUCAUUUAACUUUCAAAAGAUCUCGAAUUCCACUCACUUUCAGUUAAUCAAUCAAACAAUCAACCCAAUAUAUCUGUUUAUUAUAACAUUCCAAAAUUUAGAAUUUUGGGAUGUUACAGAUGAUUUGAGUAGAUGCUGAGUAUAUUUACUUGAUGAAACACAAGUCUGAAUUAUUGAAAGGUUCAAGUAAUUUCAGAGUGAAGUUGAAGAUCGUCGUGACAAAAGGAUAAAAUGUCUGUGAUAAGAUCAUAGAGAUGAAUAUCUGAGUUACGAGUUUGGCACACAAUUAAUACAUUGUGGAAAUUGUUUCACAACUAAUACUGCCUGGAACACCAUAGUGUGAUGGUGUGUCCGAACAUCAUAACUGCACCCUAUUGGAUAUGGUGCAUACCAUGAUGUCUCUUAUCGAAUUAUCGCUAUCGUUUAUGGGCUAGGCAUUAGAGGCAACCGCAUUCACUUUAAAUAGGGCACCACGCAAUUCCGUUGAGACGACACCGUAUGAACUAUGGUUUAGAGAAACCUAAGCUGUCGUUUCUUACAAGUUUGGGGCUGCGAUGCUUAUGUGAAAAAGUUUCAGGCUGAUAAGCUCAAACCCAAAGCGGAUAAAUGCAUCUUCGUAGAAUACCCAAAACAGUUGGGUAUACCUCCUAUUUCAGAUCUGGAAGCAAAAGUGAUUGUUUCUAGAAACGGGUCCUUUCUCGAGGAAAAGUUUCUCUCGAAAGAAUUGAGUGGGAGGAUGGUGGAGACUUGAUGAGGUUAUUGAACCGUCACUUCAACUAGUGUGUAGCAGGGCACAGGAAGUUGUUCCAUUGGCACCUACACCAAUUGAAGUGGAAGCUUAUGAUAGUGAUCAUGAAACUUCGGAUCAAGUCACUUCCAAACCUCGUAGGUCAACAAGGAUGCGUACUACUUCAGAGUGGUACGUAAUCCUAUCUUGGAAGUCAUGUUGCUAGACAACAAUGAACCUACGAGUUAUGGAGAAGCGAUGGUGGGCCCGGAUUCCGACGAAUGGCACGAGGCCAUAAAAUCCGAGAGAGGAUCCAUGUAUAAAAACAAAGUAUAGACUUUGGAAGAACUACUUGAUGGUCGUAAGGCUGUUGGGAGCAGAUGGAUUUUAAAAGGAAGACAGACAAUGAUGGUAAGUGUCACCAUUAAGAAAGCUCGACUUGUCGUUAAGAUGUUUUCCGACAAGUUCAAGGAGUUGACUGCGAUGAGACUUUCUCACUUGUAGCGAUGCUAAGAGUCUGUUGGAAUUAUAUUAGCAGUUACUGCAUUAUUUAUGAAAUCUUGCAGAUAGGAUGUCAAAACAUUGUUUCCUCGACGAUGUUCUUGAGGAAAGGUUGUAUGUGAUACAACCAGAAGGUUUUGUCAAUCCUGAAAGAUGCUAACAAGUAUGCAAAGCUCCAGCAAUCCUUCUAAGGACUGGAGUAAGCAUCUCGGAGUUGGAAUGUACGCUUUGAUGAGAUGAUCAAAGAUUUUGGGUUUUUACAAAGUUUAUGAGAAACUUGUAUUUCCAAAGAAGUGAGUGGGAGCACUAUAGAAUUUUUGAUGAGUAUAUGUUGUUAACAUAUUGUUGAUCAGAAAUGAUGUAGAAUUUCUGGAAAGCAUACAGGGUUAUUUGAAAAGUGUUUUUCAAUGGAAACCCUGGAUUAAGCUACUUGAACAUUGAGAUCAAGAUCUAUAAGGAUAGAUCAAAAAUACUUAAUAGUACUUUCAAAUGAAUACAUACCGUGACAAGAUUUUGAAGGAGUUCAAAAUAGAUCAGCAAAGAAGGAGUUCUUGGCUGUGUUACAAGGUGUGAGUCUUGAGUAAGACUCAAGACCUGACCACGGCAGAAGGGAGAGAAAGGACGAAGGUCGUCCCCUAUGCUUUAGACGUAGGCUCUACAGUAUGCUAUGCUGUGUACCGCACCUGAAGUGUGCCUUGCCAUGAGUUAGUCAAGGGGUACAAUAGUGAUCCAGGAAUGGAUCACAUGACAGCGGUCGAACUUAUCCUUAGUAACUAGUGGACUAAGGAAUUUUCUCGAUUAUGGAGGUGGUAAAAGAGUUCAUCGUAAAGGGUUACGUCGAUGCAAACUUUGACACUAAUCUGGAUGACUCGGAGUAGAAAACCGGAUUCGUAUAGUAGAGCACUUAUUUGGAAUAGCUCCAAGUAGUGCGUGGUAGCUGCAUCUACAAGAUGACAUAGAGAUUUGUAAAGCACACACGGAUCUGAAAGGUUCAGACCCGUUGACUAAAAACCUCUCUCGUAAGCAUAACAUGAUCAAACCCUAGAACUCACUGACUGUUAAUCACAUGGUGAUGUGAACUAGAAACUGCAAUGGAACCUUCCUUGGAGCAUCAGCUGUUGUGUUCGAUGGACUCUCUGAUCCAGCCAGUUUGGAAGCGUGGGCAUGCAAUGAGGCUUUGGCCUUGGGCCAGGACUUGCAUGUUAAGCGACUUCUAAUCGCCUCUGAUUGUGCCGAAGUAAUCACCAAUAUGAGCCGAGACACAGCUUUAGUUUAUGCGCCAAUUCUGCAUGAGAUAGCUAUUCGCAGAAGGAAUUUUGAGCAUGUUCUCUUUCGUCAUGAACCGAGGGAAUGUAUUAGUGAGGCUCAUAGAUUAGCUAAGGCCGCGUCGACUCUUGACGUGGGCCGCCAUGUGUGGCUAGGGAGUGUCCCGGACAUUAUUUGUAUUCCAAACUCUUUGAACUUUGAAUAAAUCCCUAGUUACACCUCAAAAAAAAAAUA
rnacentral:lncRNA from 1 species